rnacentral:pre_miRNA from 1 species
GCAUGGAGGUCCUGGGAGGCCUGGCUUUGCAGUGUGGACUGAACCCUGCGACCCAGCCAUGGCAGCCCCCCGGC